UCAGAUUUUUAAAUGUGGCUCAGGAUGAACGCUGGCGGCGUGCCUAACACAUGCAAGUCGAGCGAUCUCUUCGGAGAGAGCGGCGGACGGGUGAGUAACGCGUGGGUAACCUUCCCUGUACGCACGGAUAACAUACCGAAAGGUAUACUAAUCCGGGAUAAYAUAUGAAAGUCGCAUGGCUUUUGUAUCAAAGCUCCGGCGGUACAGGAUGGACCCGCGUCUGAUUAGCUAGUUGGUAAGGUAAUGGCUUACCAAGGCAACGAUCAGUAGCCGACCUGAGAGGGUGAUCGGCCACACUGGAACUGAGACACGGUCCAGACUCCUACGGGAGGCAGCAGUGGGGAAUAUUGCACAAUGGGCGAAAGCCUGAUGCAGCAACGCCGCGUGAGCGAUGAAGGCCUUCGGGUCGUAAAGCUCUGUCCUCAAGGAAGAUAAUGACGGUACUUGAGGAGGAAGCCCCGGCUAACUACGUGCCAGCAGCCGCGGUAAUACGUAGGGGGCUAGCGUUAUCCGGAAUUACUGGGCGUAAAGGGUGCGUAGGUGGUUUUUUAAGUCAGAAGUGAAAGGCUACGGCUCACCCGUAGUAAGCUUUUGAAACUAGAGAACUAGAGUGCAGGAGAGGAGAGUAGAAUUCCUAGUGUAGCGGUGAAAUGCGUAGAUAUUAGGAGGAAUACCAGUAGCGAAGGCGGCUCUCUGGACUGUAACUGACACUGAGGCACGAAAGCGUGGGGAGCAAACAGGAUUAGAUACCCUGGUAGUCCACGCCGUAAACGAAGAGUACUAGGUGUCGGGGGUUACCCCCCUCGGUGCCGCAGCUAACGCAUUAAGUACCCCCGGCA
rnacentral:rRNA from 1 species